rnacentral:rRNA from 1 species
AUGACCGACCGGCAACGGUCCACGCACGGACCCGUCCCCGCGUCUUUGGCUACUUCAAAUAUUCCACCUGUGGACUCGCUCUGGGGAGCACGACUACUUUUCUUCCUAGUGACCGUCCAAUACAACUCUCUGGCGGAGGCCGGGGUGGAGCAAAGGAGAAACGGGCCUUGGAUCAAGAUGAAUCCCACGGCUGAGCGGGUGCUCACCGGCGGUGUGCGUUCGAUGUCCCUGGGGAGCCCCAGGUCUCCGCCGCUCUCCUACGGGAGCAUCGUCACCGUGCUUAGCAUCGAGGGGGGCGGCGUGCGUGGAUCAUCCCCGGCACCAUCCUCACCUUCUUCAACCAUCGUCGCCAGUAGCGAUGCGAAUCUUCCCGAAGAUACCAUUCCACCAAGGGAACGGUACUCUGAUGUUCACGGCCCUGAGGAGCGCCUCGGCCUUCCGGUGCUCCUGCUCCUCGGCCCUGGAAACUAUCUUGAUUGUGAUUCCGACCAGAGGUUAAUCAUGUGGUCUUGGAUUGCACACACUAUUCCACAAGACACAAGAGUGAUCAUGAUGUCCAUGCCCAGCCAGCCUAGGGCCGGCCUGGUCAGCCAAUUGGAUAAGAAGCAAGCGGCCAGGGAUAGCGAUCCCCUGCCAGCAUCCAUCCCCAAUCCCCACGACCGACGCGGGCGGCGAUUGCCAUUCCGGUCAGCCGUUUCUCCUGCAACUCGUGGAGAGACCACGACCCAGGCGGAGCGCCGUCGAGCCUCGCGUUGGAGGCCGGAGAAGGCUGUGCCAGAGGACUCCGGGGAGGGCGUGCCGGCCCGAUUAGGCACAGGCGAAGACGCCCACGGCCGGUCGGCCGCACCACCGGCGGCAAGAGGAUCUCCCGCCUCGCUCGUCCUCGGAGUAGGAGUCACCGGAGAGGUGGGUGCCGGGUACGACGCCGUUGGAAGCGCCAUUCGCGAGCCCGAGCGCCGCUGGGCUCCAUGUGUCAGCGUCGGGGCCGAGUCGCCUCUGCGCCCGUGGGGGCAAGGCCGAUGGUCGAGCACGGGGUGUGCCGGGAGGAGCAGCGCCGGGGCCAGGAUGCCGUUGCGCCAGAUGCCCAUCGCUCGUGCGACGGAUCACGCGGCCGAGGGCGGUCUCCCACCAUUGGACGCCGAUGAGGCACCUUGCCCAUGGGGCCCGAGGGUUCGACCGCCGUCGUUCUUCGCGACGAGACUGUCCCUCAUAGAGGAAACAAAGGAAUUCAUGGCCACAGCGCGCUGUAGGGACGUCGGUCCUGAGGGCGGCCACAGCAGAAGGGAUGCAUUGAAGAGGCAUCCGUUCGGGAGAGAUGUCACGAACCGACGCAAACUGGCUGCGGUUGCUAUGGAGAUAAAGAGAUGUGGACGGGCAACCCACUGCAAGAGGAUGAGGCCGCCCACCCUUCCCCUCAAGCGUGGAUUAAAAAAAGAUGGCCCCCCUAGCUUCCAGUCGUUGACGCAUGGGUUCGCAGAAGGUGGCCGCGUCAAAAAACAACCGUGUGCGGUGUUUGGCCGGCCGACAAGUGGGGCCAUGAGGGACAUCAAGCGGACGCGCGGCACAUUCGCUUCAUGUCGCUUCAUUGAAGUUGUUCUGAGAGGUGCCAUCAUCCUCGAGGCAGCCCACUUCGCCGCCGAUGGCAUGGGCGCCAUUCGCCUCUCGAGCUACCGCAACCGGGACAUGCACGCCGUGACCUUUCUCUAG